UACGUAGGGUGCGAGCGUUAAUCGGAAUUACUGGGCGUAAAGCGUGCGCAGGCGGUUCGUUGUGUCGGUCGGUGAAAGCCCCGGGCUUAACCUGGGAAUGGCCGUUGAAACUGGCGAACUGGAGUGUGGCAGAGGGGGGUAGAAUUCCACGUGUAGCAGUGAAAUGCGUAGAUAUGCGGAGGAACACCGAUGGCGAAGGCAAUCCCCUGGGCCUGCACUGACGCUCAUGCACGAAAGCGUGGGGAGCAAACAGG
rnacentral:rRNA from 1 species